GAGCCAGAGUAUCUAUUGCAAAAAGAAACGGGGCAUCUUGCCUUGAAGGUUGGCAAAAAUAACUAGCGAUUCUCCAUGCCUAUGAAAUCGAUUUUAUACUGUUUUGGUGAUGGCCUCGAACAAGUCGCAACAUC